UACGAAGGGGGCUAGCGUUGCUCGGAAUCACUGGGCGUAAAGCGCACGUAGGCGGUUUGUUAAGUCAGGGGUGAAAUCCUGGAGCUCAACUCCAGAACUGCCUUUGAUACUGGCGAUCUCGAGUCCGGGAGAGGUGAGUGGAACUGCGAGUGUAGAGGUGAAAUUCGUAGAUAUUCGCAAGAACACCAGUGGCGAAGGCGGCUCACUGGCCCGAUACUGACGCUGAGGAGCGAAAGCAUGGGGAGCGAACAGG
rnacentral:rRNA from 1 species